GUCUGCUUGAAGAUAUAAGGAGUCUAGCCUGCUCACUGAUUAGUUUAAGGGCCGCGGUAAUUUGACCGUGCAAAGGUAGCAUAAUAGUUAGUUUUUUAAUUGGGAUCUUGUAUGAAUGGUUGGACAAAGGAGAUACUGUCUCUAUAAUUUUUAUUGAAUUUAACUUUCAAGUGAAAAGGCUUGGAUUAUUUAAAAAGACGAUAAGACCCUAUAAAGCUUUAUAAGAAAUUUUUAUUUAAUUGAAUUAAUUAAUAAAUUUUCAGUAAUUUUUUUUAUUUUGUUGGGGAGACAAUGGUAUAAUUUUUAGUAACUGUGAGUGAGUAAUACAAAUAUCUAUGUUUAGUUUAGGUAAAGGAUCCUGGUUAGAGAUUAAAAGUUUAAGUUACUUUAGGGAUAACAGCGUUAUUUUCUUUGAGAGUCCAUAUCGAAAAGAAAGAUUGCGACCUCGAUGUUGAAUUAAAAUUUCUGAGUGAUUGCAGAAGUUGCUUUAGAAGGUCUGUUCGACCUUUAAAUUUUUACAUGAUUUGAGUUCAGACCGGCGUAAGCCAGGUCGGUUUCUAUCUUUUAAUAAAUAUAAUAGUUAUUUUAGUACGAAAGGAUUAAAUAAUUGAAUUUUUUUUUAUAAUGGUAA
rnacentral:rRNA from 1 species